ACUCGGCUUCGUCUCCAACGCCUCUUCUCCCUUCUUCUCAGGGAGUGGAGAGAUAGGCCUGAAGUCC
ensembl:miRNA